rnacentral:lncRNA from 1 species
AAAAAGAAAGCAUAGACAUAUUUUUUUAAAGUCUGAAAACAACAGUUCUAUAGUAGAGGGCUUACUGAGAUAGCAUUAGACCUAGCCACCACCCUAGCCACCACCUUUCAACUUCGUGUCACUCACAAGUAGAAUAUUGUUCACCAAGUUGUGAGUUUGGGGGUUCAGAGACAAGAGGAUGGAAACGUUUUGAAGUUGGAUGGCUCCAUUACUCAAUUGGCUCUCAAAUGUAACCAAAUGAGCGAUACUUUACCCAAUCUGAAAUGUUGGUCAAUAACUUGAAGUGGGGGGAAAAAAAUAAGUUCAGGAAAAUGGCAGAAGAAAAUAAUUAAGUUACUUUUUGCUUUUGUUGUUGAUUGGUUUCUUGUUGAUUUUGGUUUUUGGUUUUAGUGCAGGUGGGUGAGUGCUGUGUGUGUGUGUGUGUGUGUGUUCCACUCAAAAAACAAACACUCAAAAAGUGAAGAAAAUACAAAGAUUUUAAGAACAUAGAUUUACCUACUACUGGAUACAGCUUCUGCUACAUCCUCUGGGGAAGGCACUGAUUUCUGGUUUGGAGAGCGUUUGCUCGCUGGUUUGCUCUCCCAUCAAAGAGGCCUCAAAGAGUGGUCGGUCUCUUAGAGCAAUCAUGGAUCUUAUUGGGAGAGGUUGGAAAGUAUUUCCUAAUGAAUUGGGCUUAUCUCCUCACAAAGGAAGGGAAGAGUUUAUGAGAAAUUGUUGAAGACGAUGGCUAACAAUCUGUGAAGAUUUUGUUCUGUAUUUUCUUGGUUUGGGGUUUUGAUUUCUUACUUUAUACAAUCUUUACGGAUGGAAAUCUUACUGGCAGAAAAGACUUGGUCUUUUUGCUCUUUCAUCACAGAAUGGAAGAUGGCAAACUCACGUAGACUCUUUGUAGGUUGGCUAUAAAAGGGGUGGUUUGGCUUUUUAAAUAAGACCAUUUUAAAUGUUCCUUUCUAUUUUCAAUCAUAAAAGAUUGUCUUAAUUUAUUAGCGUAGGCCCUGGUUGGCACUUCUCAAGUGGAUGAGCAUUUCCAUUCAAAGCAUGGGUUCACCCAUGUCUUCAAAAGAUGAAUGAUUAAUAUUAAGGAAUUACUUACUUCAAAAUACAGUAGAAGCGUGAGUCUCUGUUCCCACUCCCAGNNCACAAAGAUCAUUAAGUCCUAAAUCUGAAAGAGGAAAAAUACUAAGGGAAUUUUUUUUCUUGCCUGUUUUUUAUUUCAAUGCUAGUGCUUAAUCCUAUCCUAUACAGAUUUGCUUCUCGCUAUUGUGAUAUUCCGUAAGACUUUCCAGUUAGGUAUUAGAAAUUGAUACAUAGAUACCUUUUUUUGUGUGGUUUCUAUUUAAAAGAAAAGAGAUAAGACUGUCUGAAGCUUAAAUGCAUAAGGUACAUGAUAAAGAUAUCACUUUAAAUAACAAGCCAUAUCUGGUACAAUCCUUUCUUUCUUAUCAUUUUAAGGAAAACUUUCCCAGAUAAGACAGAGGCCCAGGGGACUUUCGAAAGUGUCUUUGUUCCUCCCAUCUGUUUUUGUUGGUGGUGAUUUUCCCCCCAAUGUCUGCCUCAGAAUCUUUUAGAGGCUGGCCAGACCAAAUCGGACAAUUAAAGAACUGUCUUUUAAAACACACAUUUCACAUGGUCCCUUUUAAUGAAUGAUUACACUUAUAUUGAACGUGAUUUUUUUUCUCUCUCCAGUUAUUUUUUUUUCUGUCAUUGAUAAGGGUCCUUAAGGAGAAAAAUUCAUUAACAAAAAGCAAGAAAGCGUGUGAAAAAGAAGAAAAUCUAAAUGUCACCGCGCAAUUGAAAUACGAGCUAAAAUGGAAAUACUUUCUUCUACUUAAAACCCAGACUGAAUCACCUUCAAAGUGACCUUUCACAAUCUUUCCAAUUUGCCUCUGUUUAAACUGUCUGGGCCUAAAAGCAAGCAUUAUUCAUUUUCUUUUUCCCAAAGUGGACUCGUGUGUAAAGUAGGAAAAUUAAAAGAAACUGCUAAAAAUCCCUUCCAACCACAGGCUGACCCCACUCACCAGCUCACAGCGAAGGCUCCUGUUGAUCUAUCCCCUAAUCUCAUUUCAUUUGGAUAUUUACAUUGUACCUACUGCUAAACACUCUGCAGGAGGCUCAGGAAACCUCAAUCUGUCCAUUCUUAUCUCCUAUCUGUGUCUCUGUAUCAUUAGUCCUUCCAAACAUCGUGCCGUGUGUAUUCAGUCUAUUUGAAAGCUCCAAAUGGUACAUCAGACCUGAUCUGUUUUUGGUGAAGAUUUAGGGAGCUAUGAGAAUUUGGAUUAUAACAUGCAUUUUGCUUCAUUUAUUUUUAUCACACUUAAAGGCCAAGGGUGAUGAUUAACUUACAGACAUCGAAUUCAUUUCUCUACUGAAACCUUAAAGUAGUAUUUGGUCAUUCAUUGUAUGUGUCUUAUAUACCCACCCACACACAGACACAAAGGAAAUCUAUCAAAUUAAUCCUGAUUGUAUUCGAAGUGGUUAUUCAAUUCAUUUAUGGCAGAGCAAUAUCAGUCCUAAUGACUCGUGAAAGUGUUACUAACUGAAUCAUUAUCUUACAUUUACUGUUUAGUAAGCAUAUUUUGAAAAAUGUAUGGCUAGAGUGUCAUAAUAAAAUGGUAUAUCUUUCUUUAGUAAUUACAUUAAAAUUAAUCAUGUUUGAUUAACUGGUU